rnacentral:rRNA from 1 species
AACCUUACCAGGUCUUGACAUCCCGAUGCUAUUUCUAGAGAUAGAAAGUUACUUCGGUACAUCGGUGACAGGUGGUGCAUGGUUGUCGUCAGCUCGUGUCGUGAGAUGUUGGGUUAAGUCCCGCAACGAGCGCAACCCCUAUCUUUAGCUGCCAUCAUUGAGUUGGGCACUCUAAAGAGACUGCCGGUGUCAAACCGGAGGAAGGUGGGGAUGACGUCAAGUCCUCAUGGCCUUUAUGACCAGGGCUACACACGUACUACAAUGGCCGGUACAAAGGGCAGCGACACAGCGAUGUGAAGCGAAUCCCGAAAAGCCGGUCUCAGUCCGGAUUGGAGUCUGCAACUCGACUCCAUGAAGUUGGAAUCGCUAGUAAUCGCGGAUCAGCACGCCGCGGUGAAUACGUUCCCGGGCCUU